GGCUCAAUAGCUCAGUGGUUAGAGCACUGGUCUUGUAAACUAGGGGCUCGUGAGUUCAAUUCUCACUGGGGACU